rfam:Ipomoea nil DNA, scaffold: scaffold0465, cultivar: Tokyo-kokei standard.
GCGCAUUUAGUGUAGUGGUAUCAUAGUACCAUCCCAUGGUACUUACUGGGGUUCAAUUCCCCGAAUGCGCA